AGAAUCAACGCUGGCGGCGUGCCUAACACAUGCAAGUCGAACGAGAAAGUGGAGCAAUCCAUGAGUAAAGUGGCGACCGGGUGAGUAACACGUGACUAACCUACCUUCGAGUGGGGGAUAACCUCGGGAAACCGAGGCUAAUACCGCAUAACAUCGCAAGAUCAAAGCAGCAAUGCGCUGGAAGAGGGGGUCGCGGCCGAUUAGUUAGUUGGCGGGGUAAUGGCCCACCAAGACUAUGAUCGGUA
rnacentral:rRNA from 1 species